GCCCCGAGAAGACGGAGGUGACCGAUGAGAGGCCACGCUCCGGCUGGCUCUGGAGGUGUUCUGUCUCUCUUCUUGUGGAGCUUGGAUUUGGCCAUAAUCAUAUUGAGACAAACAACAAUGAAAACAAGUCCAAGAACCGUGAGAGCUUGAAGCUGAAGCAAUCCUUGCCUUUUGGCAUGACAAAGUCUGGCAGCCAGACAACAGAAAGAAAGAAAAAUAAAAUUCACCUCUGGCAGGGAAGUCUUAGAAGGUGAUAGUGUCAAACUCUACGCGUGAUCGUGCAGAAAAAGAGGAAAGUGCCAAACAUAAUGAAAACAUCCUCUCUGUGCUGUGUUGAAUUCUAGUGUUGAUUGAUUGUUUCUUGAAUAAAGAGGAAAGUGCCAAUCAUAUUGUUUCUUGAA